AGCGAACGCUGGCGGCAGGCCUAAUACAUGCAAGUCGAGCGGUCCCUCCGGGGGCAGCGGCGGACGGGUGAGUAACGCGUGGGAACGUGCCCUUUGGUACGGAACAACUGAGGGAAACUUCAGCUAAUACCGUAUGUGCCCUAUGGGGGAAAGAUUUAUCGCCAUUGGAGCGGCCCGCGUUGGAUUAGCUAGUUGGUAGGGUUAUGGCCGACCAAGGCGACGAUCCAUGGCUGGUCUGGGAGGAUGAUCAGCCACACUGGGAGUGAGACACGGCCCAGACUCCUACGGGAGGCAGCAGUAGGGAAUCUUGCGCAAUGGGCGAAAGCCUGACGCAGGCAUGCCGCGUGAAUGAUGAAGGUCUUAGGAUUGUAAAAUUCUUUCACCGGGGACGAUAAUGACGGUACCCGGAGAAGAAGCCCCGGCUAACUUCGUGCCAGCCGCCGCAGUAAAAC
rnacentral:rRNA from 1 species